AAAUACAAGAAGACGUUGAAAAUUUGGGGUUAAACAUAUGUUCGGGGUGAUAUCCAAUGUCUCCCAUUGGAAGACGUGGGGUACGUCUCCCAAUCCAACGUCUCUCAAUAGGAGACGUGUCACAUGUCCUACGACUCUCAGUGGGAGACGUUGGAUGUCCCCACUAAUAUAAUGUAACGCUUUCCUCUUCCUUCUCCUCAGACGCACAUUACAGAGGCAUUCAUCUGCGAAUUUUGGGUUUUUCAACGCUUUCUAGGGCUCAAAGAGAAAAUUCGAUUGUUACGUGAAGUAAUUUUGCUAGCUUUUGGAUUAUUAAUUGCAAGAGACAUAGGAGAAGAUAUGGAUAGAAAGUGGAUGUCAGGGAAUAGGUUAUCUGCAGAAUAUAGGAACGAGGUCGAUUUGCUCUUAAGUGAACAUUGGAUGUUGCUUAUAUUGGCACCAUAUGUAUAUCAUGCUUAUUAUUGUGAUCUGGUGAACUCAAAUCUGAAUGACCGUGAGGAGAUUGUAUCAAUAAUCAUUAAUAGUAGUUUCAAUCUUUUUUUCUCUAUGAAUCAACCUAAUGUUGAGAUCCCUGAUAAUCUACGCAUUAAGAAACCCCACCUAAGUAAUUGCAACUUAAAUUUUUGAACUUUUAUAAUUAUUAAGUAGAAUAAUAUGUAUGCAUUUUUUACAAAGUGUCAAUUUAAUAAUGAAUUACUCAUACUUUUAAAUAAUUA